rnacentral:rRNA from 1 species
AUUGAACGCUGGCGGCAUGCUUUACACAUGCAAGUCGAACGGUAACAGGCCGCAAGGUGCUGACGAGUGGCGAACGGGUGAGUAAUGCAUCGGAACGUGCCCAGUCGUGGGGGAUAACGCAGCGAAAGCUGUGCUAAUACCGCAUACGAUCUAUGGAUGAAAGCGGGGGACCGUAAGGCCUCGCGCGAUUGGAGCGCCCGAUGUCAGAUUAGGUAGUUGGUGGGGUAAAGGCUUACCAAGCCGACGAUCUGUAGCUGGUCUGAGAGGACGACCAGCCACACUGGGCCUGCGACACGGCCCAGACUCCUACGGGAGGCAGCAGUGGGGAAUUUCGGACAAUGGGCGCAAGCCUGAUCCAGCAAUGCCGCGUGCAGGAAGAAGGCCUUCGGGUUGUAAACUGCUUUUGUACGGAGCGAAAAGGCUCUCUCUAAUACAGGGGGCUCAUGACGGUACCGUAAGAAUAAGCACCGGCUAACUACGUGCCAGCCGCCGCCGUAACAC